ACCUUUUGAGCUCGGUCUCGUGGGUUUUGAAGAGUUUCAAAGCCUUCGGAUUCGCGAGAUUGGGAUCUCUUAGUGUACUUUUUCGUACGGUUAGUCAACAUCGGUUUUGAAUGUCAUAAAAUGACUGGAGGAAUGUAGCUUCGAUCUCGUAUUGAAGUGUUAUAGCCUUUGGUAGAUGUGAUGUUUGAGACCGAGGAUUGCAACGGAUACCCUUUAGGGCUAUUCGUCUGAUCUCUGAUACGUUGCCUUGAUGUUGAAAGCUUGCUUAUGACGUUAGGGUAUUACGGUCAAAAGGUUAGAACGAAUUAGAUUCGUUAAGGAUGUUGACGUAAUGACUUU
rnacentral:rRNA from 1 species